UUUACUGUGUUUGUUUUGUCUGGAGGAAAUUAAUUGUACUUUGUCAUGAGUGAUUGAAAUGGAUUCUGAUUCAACAUAGUGAUGGACAUGUUUAAACAUCUGCUAAAAAACAAAAUGACAUAACCGAUUUUGAAGAAAGCUCUCCACUUUCAAGUCUACUAAUAUGAUGAAAAAGAUAUUUGAGGCCGUAGUGCUGAUGUGGGUACAUCUGAUUGAAGCAAUCU